GACAGAGGAUGCAAGCGUUAUCCGGAAUCAUUGGGCGUAAAGAGCGUGUAGGCGGCCAGAAAAGUCCGCUGUGAAAACUCGAGGCUCAACUUCGAGCUGUCGGUGGAAACUUUCUGGCUAGAGUCCGGAAGAGGAGAAUGGAAUUCCUGGUGUAGCGGUGAAAUGCGCAGAUAUCAGGAAGAACACCCGUGGCGAAGGCGGUUCUCUGGGACGGUACUGACGCUGAGACGCGAAAGCGUGGGGAGCGAACAGG
rnacentral:rRNA from 1 species